AUACGGAGGAUCCGACCGUUUUCCGGAUUUAUUGGGUUUAAAGGGGGCGUAGGUGGCCGGUUAGGUCAGUUGGGAAAGUUUGCGGCUAACCCGAAAAUUUGCAGUUGAUACUGGCUGUCUUGAGUACGGUAGAGGUGGGCGGAAUUCGUGGGGUAGCGGUGAAAUGCUUAGAUAUAACGAAGAACUCCGAUUGCGAAGGCAGCUCACUGGACUGCAACUGACACUGAUGCUCGAAAGUGUGGGUAUCAAACAGGAUUAGAUACCCUGGUGGUCCACACAGUAAACGAUGAAUACUCGCUGUUUGCGAUAUACAGUAAGCGGCCGAGCGAAAGCAUUAAGUAUUCCACCUGGGGAGUACGCCGGCAACGGUGAAACUCAAAUGAAUUGACGGGG
rnacentral:rRNA from 1 species